AGGGCACGAGGUGAAUGCCUUGGCUCCAGAAGUCGAUGAAGGACGUAGUAAGUUGCGAUAAGCCACGAGGAGCGACAAACACGCGCUGAUCCGUGGAUUUCCGAAUGGGGAAACCCGGCCAAUCAUGGUCGAUGUCAUGUGAAUUCAUAGCAUGGCAUCGGGACACCCGCUGAAGUGAAACAUCUCAGUAAGCGGAGGAAAAGAAAUCAAAGAGAUUCCGUGAGUAGUGGCGAGCGAAACCGGAAGAGCCUAAACCGGGAGAGUUUACUUUCCCGGGGUUGUGGGACCUUAAUAUGAGCGACCGAGAGAAGCUAAUCAGUUUGGAAAACUGAACCAGAGAGGGUGAUAGUCCCGUGAGUCUAAUUGAGGAAGUUCUAGAGGUAUCCCGAGUAAUGCGGGACACGUGAAACCCUGCAUGAAUCCAGGCGGACCACCGUCUAAGGCUAAAUACUAACUGGAGACCGAUAGUGAACAAGUACCGUGAGGGAAAGGUGAAAAGGACCCCUGCUAGGGGAGUUUAAAGUUCCUGAAACCCCGUGCCUACAAAGUGUGGGAGCACUUUCGAGUGUGACCGCGUGCCUUUUGCAUAAUGAGUCUGCGAGUUAUUGUCAGUGGCAAGCCUAAGCACUAAUGGUGCGCAGGCGAAGCGAAAGCGAGUGUGAAUAGCGCGACCAGUCGCUGGCGAUAGACCCGAAGCGGAGGUGAUCUAACCAUGGGCAGGUUGAAGCUGAGGUAAAACUCAGUGAAGGACCGAACCGUUGUACGUUGAAAAGUGCUCGGAUGACCUGUGGUUAGGAGUGAAAGGCUAAUCAAACCCCGUGAUAGCUGGUUCUCUUCGAAAUAGCUUUAGGGCUAGCGUCGGGAAUAGUACUCCGAGGAGGUAGAGCACUGAUUGGCUUAGGGUCCCUAACAGGAUACCAAAACCAGUUAAACUCCGAAUGCCUCGGAUCCCAUUAUCCCGGCAGUCAGUCGGCGAGUGAUAAGAUCCGUCGUCGAAAGGGAAACAACCCAGACCAUCGGCUAAGGUGCCCAAAUACCGCUCAGUGGUAAGGAUGUGACGUUACACAGACAGUGAGGAUGUUGGCUUAGAAGCAGCCACCAUUUAAACAGUGCGUAACAGCUGACUCAUCGAGUGACGUUGCGCCGAAAAUGAUUGGCGAUCAAGCGGUAUACCGAAGCCAUGGAUGUCUUCGGACAUGGUAGAAGAGCGUAGUCAGGCCAUAGAAGCUUUCCUGUAAAGGGAGGUGGAGGGCUGACUAGUGAGAAUGCAGACAUGAGUAGCGAUAAACAAAGUGAGAAUCUUUGUCUCCGUAAACCCAAGGUUUCCUGGGCCAGGCUCGUCCCCCCAGGGUUAGUCGGGACCUAAGGCGAGGCCGAAAGGCGUAGUCGAUGGAAAACAGGUUAAUAUUCCUGUACCACCUUUUUUUAGUGAUGGGGUGACGGAGUAGGAUAGAUCGGCCGAGUGUUGGAUUACUCGGUUUAAGCAUGUAGGAGUAAAGGAUUGGCAAAUCCGUCCUUUUUUAACUCCAAGGUGUUAAUACGAGAGGCCUAGCCUCAUAAAGUGAUUGAUUCCAUGCUUCCUAGAAAAACCUCUAAAUGUUGAACAAUAGGUGCUCGUACUGUAAACGGACACACGUACGCGGGUAGAGUAUACCAAGGUGUUUGAGAUAAUUAUGGUCAAGGAACUCGGCAAACUAGCUCCGUAACUUCGGAAUAAGGAGUACCUGUGUUAGGUGAAAGCUCUUGCAGCUGGAGCCGAGACAGGUGGCACUGAACUGGUGGAAGCGACUGUUUAUCAAAAACACAGGCCUGUGCUAACCCGCAAGGGGAUGUAUACGGGCUGACGCCUGCCCGGUGCUGGACGGUUAAGGGGAUGGGUUAUCCUUCGGGAGAAGCUUAGAACCGAAGCCCCAGUAAACGGCGGCCGUAACUAUAACGGUCCUAAGGUAGCGAAAUUCCUUGUCGUCUAAUUAGCGACCCGCAUGAAUGGCGUAACGACUUCUAUGCUGUCUCGACCAUAAUCUCAGCGAAAUUGUAGUGCUGGUGAAGAUGCCAGCUUCCCGUUGUGGGACGGAAAGACCCCGUGCACCUUUACUAUAACCUAGCACUGAAUUUUGGUAUUAAAUGCGUAGGAUAGGUGGGAGACUUUGAAGGUUCGGUUUCGGCUGGACCAGAGUCGUUGGUGAAAUACCACCCUUUUGAUAUUAGAAUUCUAACUGUAAUCCGUUAUCCGGAUUAAGGACACUGUUAGGCGGGUAGUUUGA
rnacentral:rRNA from 1 species